AUUGAACGCUGGCGGAAUGCUUUACACAUGCAAGUCGAGCGGCAGCGCGGGGCAACCUGGCGGCGAGCGGCGAACGGGUGAGUAAUGCAUCGGAACAUGUCCAUGUCGUGGGGGAUAGCCCGGCGAAAGCCGGAUUAAUACCGCAUACGCUCGAGAGAGGAAAGCCGGGGACCGCCAGGCCUGGCGCGAUUGGGUUGGCCGAUAUCCGAUUAGCUAGUUGGUGAGGUAAAGGCUUACCAAGGCGAUGAUCGGUAGCUGGUCUGAGAGGAUGAUCAGCCACACUGGGACUGAGACACGGCCCAGACUCCUACGGGAGGCAGCAGUGGGGAAUUUUGGACAAUGGGGGCAACCCUGAUCCAGCCAUUCCGCGUGAGUGAAGAAGGCCUUCGGGUUAUAAAGCUCUUUUGUCCGGAGCGAAACGGGCGCGGCUAAUACCUGCGUCUACUGACGGUACCGGAAGAAUAAGCGCCGGCUAACUACGUGCCAGCAGCCGCAGUAAUAC
rnacentral:rRNA from 1 species